rnacentral:ncRNA from 2 species
AUAUUCCUUCGGGGUCGGGUGAAAUUCCCAACCGGCGGUGAUGAAGCAUUUGCUUCUUAGUCCGUGACCCGGUUAACAUUUAUUAAACGGUGGAUCUGGUGAAACUCCAGAGCCGACAGUUACAGUCUGGAUGGGAGAAGGGAAAA